ACGAACGCUAUCGGUAUGCUUAACACAUGCAAGUCGGACGGACUAAUUAGGGCUUGCUCCAAUUAGUUAGUGGCAGACGGGUGAGUAACACGUGGGAAUCUGCCCAUCAGUACGGAAUAACUUUUAGAAAUAAAAGCUAAUACCGUAUAUUCUCUACAGAGGAAAGAUUUAUCGCUGAUGGAUGAGCCCGCGUCAGAUUAGGUAGUUGGUGAGGUAACGGCUCACCAAGCCGACGAUCUGUAGCUGGUCUGAGAGGAUGAUCAGCCACACUGGGACUGAGACACGGCCCAGACUCCUACGGGAGGCAGCAGUGGGGAAUAUUGGACAAUGGGCGAAAGCCUGAUCCAGCAAUACCGAGUGAGUGAUAAAGGCCCUAGGGUUGUAAAGCUCUUUUAGCAAGGAAGAUAAUGACGUUACUUGCAGAAAAAGCCCCGGCUAACUCCGUG
rnacentral:rRNA from 1 species